CCAGACUCCUACGGGAGGCAGCAGUGGGGGAUAUUGCACAAUGGGGGAAACCCUGAUGCAGCGACGCCGCGUGGGCGAAGAAGUAUUUCGGUAUGUAAAGCCCUAUCAGCAGGGAAGAAGAAAUGACGGUACCUGAGUAAGAAGCACCGGCUAAAUACGUGCCAGCAGCCGCGGUAAUACGUAUGGUGCAAGCGUUAUCCGGAUUUACUGGGUGUAAAGGGGGCGCAGACGACGAUGCAAGUCUGGGGUGAAAGCCCGGGGCCCAACCCCGGGACUGCUCUGGAAACUGCGUCGCUGGAGUACGGGAGGGGCAGGCGGAAUUCCUGGUGUAGCGGUGAAAUGCGUAGAUAUCAGGAGGAACACCGGCGGCGAAGGCGGCCUGCUGGACCGUGACUGACGUUGAGGCUCGAGAGCGUGGGGAGCAAACAGGAUUAGAUACCCGCGUAC
rnacentral:rRNA from 1 species